rnacentral:lncRNA from 1 species
CUUUCCUUAUUGCAUAAACACUAGCCCUUUUAUUUACAGGUGAACAGCAUUCUGUUUUUUUUAAAAAUUAUUAUUAUUUUUUUGAGAUGAAGUUUUUUUGCUCUUGUUGCCCAGGCUGGAGUGCGGCAGUGCCAUUUUGGCUUACUGCAACUGUGGAACACACUUCGGGGGAUGCAGCCUCAGGGCUAGACGCACAGAGGUCUGUCUGACUUAUUAUGCCCCAGACACCUGUGCUGUCAAUCAUCUACUUGGGCUAAAGUGUCAAGUUCACCCAUGAACGAUAAUGGUGAGAGACCAUUUGAAUUCAAAUUGGCUUUUAUCCUUAGGAUGACUACAUAAUUUUGGGGACCCAAUUUUACUUGCAACAAAAUAAAAAUGCAGGGCCCUGGCCAGGGGUGGGGCAGUCAAUCUCACCUUCCCACAGGACCCCUGCCCCAACCCACAGCAGACCAGUGACCACCCCUCUCCUCCAGAUGUACUUGGUACUUGGAUGAAGGUGGGCAAGAAACCCUCACCAACAUGCCCACCAAAUGUGCCACAAGUGGUGGCAUAAGGAAUCUGUUCAGACCCAUGGGAUAAGGGGGAGGUUCCUCUCCUGCCUGAGGGUUCACACACAGCCCGGCCUCCUUUAGGCAAGGCCAUGAAGAGUUCCUCUUUCUCACUAGGGAGGAUGGAAGCUUCCGUAUGAGAUAGAGGAAAAACCUGUGAAAGCAGCUAGAUAUGUGUAAAGGGGUAGAGAGAAAUUGAGCAGAAGAAUAUGACAGUAUACGCACCUGGAGUUGGUGAUAAGGAUGAGACCAUUCAUGCAAGGUGAGGGUCCUACUGAGUGGGUAGGAUACAAUUUCCUCACUCCUAGCUCCAGCCCUGCCACUCCCAGGAGGAUACUGUGUUUUCCAUUUAUGAUUAGUUAGCGAAUCCCUGCAGAGAUUCAGGAAAUCCUGACUUACUCGCUGGCCAGUGGGUUGCUUCCUGGGGUGCAUUCCCUAAGAUUCACCCAGAGCACCUGCAAAAUCUACCCCCUCUGGAUUUGCUGUACAAGCAAGGGAUUCCAAGAGAAGAAACCUGGAGGAUCCCUCACACGUAUCUGAAGGUUUCCCGGGUGGCUGCACAGGUGAGGUUUUCGCCUGGCCUUCACUCUGAGUAGGGGUCUAUGACUCUGGAAGGGCAGGGAGUGUGGGAAGACACCUUGGUCACCUAAGUGGCAACAAGGAACAGAGCUUGAUUUCUGGGCUGUGACAUGGUGCUUCUGGCAGGAACAGAUUUGUAUCUUGGGGCUUAGCCUCUGAUCAAGAGGAUCUGAAAUAAGCCUGGGAAAAAUCUGAGUGCUUUUUGAAUAUAGCCAGAACAGCUCUUCUUGAAUCUCUUUUUCAUAUGGCAUUUCUUUAUGUGAUGUUUUUCAAUUAGAAGGAAGUGUUCCUCUGCUAAAUACCCCUGAAACCAAAAAUGAACCAGCCAACCAACCCACCAAACAACGGACCAGCCAACUGACCCAUCAAACAAUGGACCAGCCAACCAACCCACCAAACAAUGCACCAGCCAACUGACCCGUCAAACAAUGGAUGAGCCAACCGACCCACAGAACAACUGACCAGCCAGCCAGCCCCCCAAAACAAUGGACCAGCCAACCAACCUACUGAACAAUAGACCAGCCAUUCAACCCACCAAACAAUGGACCAGCCAAUCAACCCACCGAACAACGAACCAGCCAACCAACCUACUGAACAAUGGACCAGCCAAGCAAUCCACCAAGCAAUGGACCAACCAACCAACCCACCAAACAAUGGACCAACCAACCAACCCACCAAACAAUGGACCAGCCAACCAACCCACCUAACAAUGGACCAGCCAACCAACCUACUGAACAAUGGAACAGCCGACCAAACUAUCAAACAUUGGAUCAGCCAAUCAACUGACCAACCCAACAAUCAAAUGACAAAGUUUAAAACCAUUGCUCUAUUAUACACAUAUGCACACACAGAGACAUGCAUACAUGCACCCAUGCAUUCACAUAAUUCCACUACUCCCUGCCACACAGAAUUUCUCUUCUUUUUUUGUUUCAAGCACCUAGCACCCAGCCUUCCCAUACAACUUGGCCUUGGAACUAUUUAAGACACCAUUGCUGGUGCUCAAGCUCCCACCUGUUUGGUUUCACACCUUGGUUUCCAGGUUUCCAGCCCCAUGAACUGGUAACUGGGUCUUGAACUUGGCUGUGGUUUCUGCUAUUUUGAGACCAUCACACCCUGCCAUGUCUGCCACCUCCUCUGUGCUGUGCCUGGCUCCUAGGACAGCACCAUGGUCUCGCCUUACCCCCCACCGACACCAUCUGACUUGAACACAUACAGCAGCCAACAGGGCCUCCCAAUUCUCAGAGCACUCAACCUACAGAGCCACAAUAGCACUCUGCUCUGCUGUUCUCACCAAUUCUGGGAGUGAUUCCUUAUCCAUGCCUUAACUCAGCAUAUGGCUGUUUCUGUUUUACGUGUGGUUUUUAUUAAUGCUAGGUCCCCCGGCAGUUCAGUGCAUAAAAGGACAUGACUUGGGUUAUACAUGACUGUGUUGCCAGUGGCCUGCAUUACUGUACUUCUUGGGCACUAUUUGCAUAAAAAUACUUCACCUAUUUCAGAAGGGGAAAACAUCAGUAUGGAAAAAGGAAUCCAGAAGAUUCAUGGACAGAAAACGCAUCAUGUGUUUGCUCUUAUCAUUUGGCAGCUCCAGAGUAGUUUUCCACUCUCUGAAUAAUUUAUUAUCACUUUUAUUAGUCCUCUCUAUCCAGGUUGAUAUUAUUUUCUGCUUUACUGAUACAGGCCCUGCUUCUCAGAGAAAGGAGACGGCAGACGCUGCAGCUGAAGUCUGGGGGAACCUGGGUAGGUCCCAGGGUGUCUAGAAGGGCUUGAAGACCAGCUGCACCCAAAAGCUUGGGGGUAAAUCAGGGUCCUGAUUGCUCUCUGGGGUCAGGUUAGAGAAAGUGAACUGCUGCUGCCCUGGUAGAAUUCUCCAUCUGAGCCACUCCUCCUGCCUCCUAAACCCCAAGCCUCUGCCACUGGCAGCCUUUCCUAGCCCAGUAACACAUCUUCCUAACAGAGGCCAGUGUACUACUCUCUCUAAACACCACCUUUGCUUCAGAUGCUGUGGAAGAUAAUAUUUUCCAAAGGUGGUAGCAGCAAUACCUCCCAUUCCAUGUACUCUUCCCCGAGAUGAUCUUGCCGCCCUCCAGUCAAGAGGCAAAGUUGAUGUCCCCCUCCCCCUUGAAACUGGGCAGGCUCGUAACUGCCUUGACAUAAACUAUGGUGGAAGUGACACUGUGUGACUUUGAGGCUAGGUCCUAAAAGGAAUGGAGUUUCUGCUGUGUGUCCAUUGAUCCCUCUGGGGCUCUGAGCUGCAACCACGAACGCAGUGUGAUUACCACGGACCACCCUCCUGUGAGGAAGCCCAAGCCAUCAGAAGAGGCCAUGUGUAGACCCUCAGGUUGACAGCUCCAGCUUAGGUGGCCCAUGACAACCAGCAUCAACUUCCAGACAUUGGAGGAAGACAACAGAUGUGUCUAGCCCCC